rnacentral:rRNA from 1 species
UAAUACAUGCAAGUCGAGCGCAGGAAGCCGGCAGAUCCCCUUCGGGGUGACGCCGGUGGAAUGAGCGGCGGACGGGUGAGUAACACGUGGGCAACCUGCCUUGCAGACUGGGAUAACUCCGGGAAACCGGGGCUAAUACCGGAUGAUCAUUUGGAUCGCAUGAUCCGAAUGUAAAAGUGGGGAUUUAUCCUCACACUGCAAGAUGGGCCCGCGGCGCAUUAGCUAGUUGGUAAGGUAAUGGCUUACCAAGGCGACGAUGCGUAGCCGACCUGAGAGGGUGAUCGGCCACACUGGAACUGAGACACGGUCCAGACUCCUACGGGAGGCAGCAGUAGGGAAUCAUCCGCAAUGGGCGAAAGCCUGACGGUGCAACGCCGCGUGAACGAUGAAGGUUUUCGGAUCGUAAAGUUCUGUUAUGAGGGAAGAACACGUGCCGUUCGAAUAGGGCGGCACCUUGACGGUACCUCACGAGAAAGCCCCGGCUAACUACGUGCCAGCAGCCGCGGUAAUACGUAGGGGGCAAGCGUUGUCCGGAAUUAUUGGGCGUAAAGCGCGCGCAGGCGGUCUCUUAAGUCUGAUGUGAAAGCCCACGGCUCAACCGUGGAGGGUCAUUGGAAACUGGGGGACUUGAGUGUAGGAGAGGAAAGUGGAAUUCCACGUGUAGCGGUGAAAUGCGUAGAUAUGUGGAGGAACACCAGUGGCGAAGGCGACUUUCUGGCCUACAACUGACGCUGAGGCGCGAAAGCGUGGGGAGCAAACAGGAUUAGAUACCCUGGUAGUCCACGCCGUAAACGAUGAGUGCUAGGUGUUAGGGGUUUCGAUACCCUUAGUGCCGAAGUUAACACA